rnacentral:rRNA from 1 species
CCUACGGGUGGCAGCAGUGAGGAAUAUUGGGCAAUGGAGGCAACUCUGACCCAGCCAUGCCGCGUGAGUGAAGAAGGUUUUCGGAUUGUAAAGCUCUUUCAGAUGGGACGAUGAUGACGGUAGCAUCUAAAGAAGCCCCGGCUAACUUCGUGCCAGCAGCCGCGGUAAUACGUAGGGGGCAAGCGUUGUUCGGAAUUACUGGGCGUAAAGGGAGUGUAGGCGGUAUAGUAAGAUAGUUGUGAAAUUCCGGGGCUUAACUUUGGAAUUGCCAUUAUAACUAUUAGACUAGAAUUACAGAGAGGCUAGUGGAAUACCUGGUGUAGAGGUGAAAUGCGUAGAUAUUGGGUAGAACACCAGUGGCGAAGGCGACUAUCUGGCUGUAGAUUGACGCUGAGGCUCGAAAGCAUGGGGAUCAAACAGGAUUAGAUACCCGUGUAGUC